UCCUAACAGAUGGAGGCAGUACUUUCAUGGUAGAAGAUAUUUGAACUAGUUCUUUCAACUAAGUGAACGUCUCUGAAGUUGUAUUGUAUAUCAAUUGUCGGAAAGCAAACUUUUGAUUAGGGUAGAAUUGCGGAAUUUAGCAGACUAGAGUAUUUUAGGAUUGCAGCUAAUUGCAUUCUUUCGUUUCGACUAGGUCAGCGUCCAUCAACGUAGAACAUCGGUUGGAUACCAAGAAGUUGGAGAAUGGGAUUUCCUGUUUUAUUAAUCUAUUCUGAGACUUUUUGCUUUGAACGCUAGUAUUAUAUAUACAUUAGGUAGUGUAAGACUUGGAAGGUCAAUAAGAGAAUCAUCAAGAUGCUCAAAAA